ACGAACGCUGGCGGCGCGCUUAAUACAUGCAAGUCGAACGAGAAGCCAGAGCUUGCUCUGGUGGAAAGUGGCGAACGGGUGAGUAACACGUGAGAAACCUGCCCCAAAGAUUGGGAUAAGCCUUGGAAACGAGGUCUAAUACCAAAUACCUUCUUUUUAACACAUGUUAAAAAGAGAAAUGCUCCGGCGCUUUGGGAUGGUCUCGCGAUCUAUCAGCUUGUUGGUGAGGUAACGGCUCACCAAGGCAUCGACGGAUAGCUGGUCUGAGAGGAUGUCCAGCCACAUUGGAACUGAGACACGGUCCAAACUCCUACGGGAGGCAGCAGUAGGGAAUCUUGCACAAUGAGGGAAACCUUGAUGCAGCGACGCCGCGUGCGGGACGAAGGCCCUAGGGUUGUAAACCGCUUUCAGUAGGGACGAAAGUGACGGUACCUACAGAAGAAGCCCCGGCCAACUAUGUG
rnacentral:rRNA from 1 species